UGUGUAGGCGGUUCUUUAAGUUUGGUGUGAAAUCUCCCGGCUCAACCGGGAGGGUGCGCCGAAUACUGAGGGACUCGAGUGCGGGAGAGGAAAGUGGAAUUCCUGGUGUAGCGGUGAAAUGCGUAGAUAUCAGGAGGAACACCGGUGGUGUAGACGGCUUUCUGGACCGUAACUGACGCUGAGACACGAAAGCGUGGGUAGCAAAACA
rnacentral:rRNA from 1 species